rnacentral:rRNA from 1 species
UUCGCAAUGCCCGAAAGGGUGAACGAGCGACGCCGCGUGCGGGAUGAAGGGUUUCGGGUUGUAAACUCCUGUCGAGGGGGACCAAGGCGCGACGAAGAGUCGCGCUUGAGAGAUCCCGGGAGGAAGCACGGGCUAAGUUCGUGCCAGCAGCCGCGGUAAGACGAACCGUGCGAACGUUAUUCGGAAUCAUUGGGCUUAAGGGGCGCGUAGGCGGAGCGACGCGUCGGCGUUGAAAGCCCCCGGCUCAACCGGGGAACCGGCGCCGAAACGGCCGCGUCUCGAGGCGAGAAGAGGGAUCUGGAACUUCCGGUGGAGCGGUGAAAUGCGUUGAGAUCGGAAGGAACGCCCGUGGCGAAAGCGAGGUCCUGGACGUCCGCUGACGCUGAGACGCGAAAGCCAGGGGAGCGAUCGGGAUUAGAUACCCCGGUAGUCCUGGCCGUAAACGUUGGGCACUAAGUAGAGGGGUUUU